UGAACUGUAGCUUAAUAAGAAGCAUCUCAGUUACGUUGGGAAGAUCAUCGUUUGCGAUGUAGUUCAA
rnacentral:tRNA from 1 species